UUGAAUUUUUCUCAUGAUGGGGGGUCUUUUGUUUUUUGUUAAAUUUUAGGGUUUGAG
rnacentral:tRNA from 1 species